AACGAACGCUGGCGGCGCGUCUUAAGCAUGCAAGUCGGACGGAACUUAGCCGAAUGUUUACAUGAGGCGAAAGUUUAGUGGCGGACGGGUGAGUAACACGUGAGCAACCUGCCUUCGAGAGUGGGACAACAGAGAGAAAUUUCUGCUAAUACCGCAUAUGACCACAGUACCGCAUGGUACAGGGGUGAAAGGAGUAAUCCGCUCGAAGAUGGGCUCGCGGCUGAUUAGCUAGUUGGUGAGGUAACGGCCCACCCAAGGCGACGAUCAGUAGCCGAACUGAGAGGUUGAUCGGCCACAUUGGGACUGAGACACGGCCCAGACUCCUACGGGAGGCAGCAGUCGGGAAUAUUGCACAAUGGGGGGAAACCCUGAUGCAGCGACGCCGCGUAAAGGAAGAAGGUCUUCGGAUUGUAAACUUUUGUCGACAGGGAAGAAGAAAGUGACAGGUACCUGUGGAGGAAGCCCCCGGCUAACUACGUGCCAGCAGCCG
rnacentral:rRNA from 1 species